GAUGAACGCUGGCGGCGCGCCUAACACAUGCAAGUCGAACGGCACCCCUCCUCGGAGGGAAGCGCGUGGCGAACGGCUGAGUAACACGUGGAGAACCUGCCCCCUCCCCCGGGAUAGCCGCCCGAAAGGACGGGUAAUACCGGAUACCCCGGGGUGCCGCAUGGCACCCCGGCUAAAGCCCCGACGGGAGGGGAUGGCUCCGCGGCCCAUCAGGUAGACGGCGGGGUGACGGCCCACCGUGCCGACAACGGGUAGCCGGGUUGAGAGACCGACCGGCCAGAUGGGGACUGAGACACGGCCCAGACUCCUACGGGAGGCAGCAGUGGGGAAUCUUGCGCAAUGGGGGGAACCCUGACGCAGCGACGCCGCGUGCGGGACGGAGGCCUUCGGGUCGUAAACCGCUUUCAGCAGGGAAGAGUCAAGACUGUACCUGCAGAAGAAGCCCCGGCUAACUACGUG
rnacentral:rRNA from 1 species